AUUGCUAUGAAGUUAAGUGAAAGAUAUUUAUCUUUUCAAUCUUGACAAUUGUUUUAAAAACUUAAAUAUAUCUUAGGUUGGACCAAACUACUUCAAGACUGCGAAAAAAUGUGAAGUCUUUGGUGUUUGCUGUGAAGGUACAGGAAAACAGGUGUUUUACUUGGCAAAUGAGGGUGAAUCACCCGGGAAAGGCGCCAACACUGUUGUUAGCUAUGUGCAUUACUAGCUUCAUCACUAUGGCCUAGGGGAGAUAGAGGCAGUUUUCUACUUUGACAACUGCUGAACAAAAUAAGAACAACUGUGUACUUUGGUAUGCAUUGUGGAGAGUUAGUGUUGGGCUGCACACUCGAAUGAGAUACUCGAUGAUGGUAUUUUCGGCCACAUCAAGUUCUAGCCUGAUUGGCUUUUUGGAUUAUGGAAGUCAAAGUACUUUGUGAUGCAGAGACCAUCGAAGCUGUUGCUGAGACUGUAUCCACCUCCUCAAGGUCUGGACUUAAUGUUCCGCACAUGAUUGGUGAUUUGGAGAAGCCUGUGCACCUAUACGAUUGGAAAACUUUUCUUGUCCAGUUGUUCAUACCCUUGCAGAACAUUUGAA